AUGAACGCUGGCGGCGUGCCUAAUACAUGCAAGUCGAGCGAACAGACGAGGAGCUUGCUCCUUCGACGUUAGCGGCGGACGGGUGAGUAACACGUAGGUAACCUACCUAUAAGACUGGGAUAACUUCGGGAAACCGGAGCUAAUACCGGAUAAUAUUUCGAACCGCAUGGUUCGAUAGUGAAAGAUGGCUUUGCUAUCACUUAUAGAUGGACCUGCGCCGUAUUAGCUAGUUGGUAAGGUAACGGCUUACCAAGGCAACGAUACGUAGCCGACCUGAGAGGGUGAUCGGCCACACUGGAAUUGAGACACGGUCCAGACUCCUACGGGAGGCAGCAGUAGGGAAUCUUCCGCAAUGGGCGAAAGCCUGACGGAGCAACGCCGCGUGAGUGAUGAAGGUCUUCGGAUCGUAAAACUCUGUUAUUAGGGAAGAACAAACGUGUAAGUAACUGUGCACGUCUUGACGGUACCUAAUCAGAAAGCCACGGCUAACUACGUG
rnacentral:rRNA from 1 species